UGAGGAAUAUUGGACAAUGGGCGCAAGCCUGAUCCAGCCAUGCCGCGUGCAGGAUGACGGUCCUAUGGAUUGUAAACUGCUUUUGUACAGGAAGAAACAGUUCUACGUGUAGAACCUUGACGGUACUGUAAGAAUAAGGAUCGGCUAACCCUGUGCCAGCAGCCGCGGUAAUACAGGGGAUGCAAGUGUUAUCCGGAAUCAUUGGGCGUAAAGCGUCUGCAGGUUGACUUUUAAGUCUUUUGUUAAAGCUCUGGGCUUAACCUAGAAUAUGCAAAGGAAACUAUUUGUCUUGAGUAUGGUAGAGGUAAAGGGAAUUUCCAGUGGAGCGGUGAAAUGCUUAGAUAUUGGAAAGAACACCAACAGCGAAGGCACUUUACUGGGCCAGUACUGACACUGAGAGACGAAAGCUAGGGGAGCAAACGGGAUUAGAUACCCAAGUAGUCCCUGAGCGGGCUGGCAAGGCGCAU
rnacentral:rRNA from 1 species